CCUACGGGUGGCAGCAGUGAGGAAUAUUGGUCAAUGGUCGCGAGACUGAACCAGCCAAGCCGCGUGCGGGAUGGAGGUACAGUGAAUUGUAAACCGCUUUUGUCAGGGAAUAAAGGCCGGUACGUGUCCCCGUCUGAGUGUACCUUACGAAUAAGGAUCGGCUAACUCCGUGCCAGCAGCCGCGGUAAUACGGAGGAUUCGAGCGUUAUCCGGAUUUAUUGGGUUUAAAGGGUGCGGAGGCGGUCGGAUCAGUUAGCGGUUCAAUCCCGGGGCUCAACCUCGGGACCGCCGUUGAGCCUGGCAGGCUCGAGUUGGCGGGAGGUAGGCGGAAUGCGCGGUGUAGCGGUGAAAUGCAUAGAUAUCGCGCAGAACUCCGAUUGCGAAGGCAGCAUGCCGGGUCCACACUGACGCUGAGGCACGAAAGCGUGGGUAUCGAACAGGAUUAGAUACCCUAGUAGUC
rnacentral:rRNA from 1 species